rnacentral:rRNA from 1 species
GAAGGCUGUAUGAUCGUGGCUCUAGAACGAACGCUGGCGNCAGGCAUAACAUAUGCAAGUGGAGCGAGACUUUAGUGUCUAGCGGCGGACGGGUUAGUAACGCGUGGGAAUAUACCCUUCAGUACGGAAUAGCCUCGGGAAAAUGGGAGUAAUACCGUAUACGCCCUUUUGGGGAAAGAUUUAUCGGUGAAGGAUUAACCCGCGUCUGAUUAGUUAGUUGGUGGGGUAAUGGCCUACCAAGUCUACGAUCAGUAGCUGGUUUGAGAGGAUGAUCAGCAACAAUGGGAAUGAGACACGGCCCAGACUCGUUACGGGAGGCAGCAGUGGGGAAUCUUAAGACAAUGGGCGCAAGCAUGAUCUAGCCAUGCCGCGUGAGUGACGAAGGCUGUAGGAUCGUAAAGCUCUUUCGCCAGAGGUGAUAAUUACAGUAUCUGGUAAAGAAACCCCGGCUAACUCUGUGCCAGCAGCCGCGGUAAUACGGAGGGGGUUAGCGUUGUUCGGAAUUACUGGGCGUCAAGCGCACGUAGGCGGAUUGGAAAAUAUGGGGUGAAAUCCCAGGGCUCAACCCUGGAACUGCCUUGUAAACUCCCAGUUUAGAGUUCGAGAGAGGUGAGUGGAAUUCCAAGUGUAGAGGUGAAAUUGGUAGAUAUGUGGAGGAACACCAUUGGUGAAGGCGGCUCACUGGCUCGAUACUGACGCUGAAGUGCGAAAGUGUGGGGAGCACACAGGAUUAAAUACCCUGGUAGUCCACACCGUCAACAAUGAAUGCCAUACCUCCGGGGGCUUGCCAUGGGGUGUCACACGUAACGGAUUAAGCAUUCCGCGUGGGGAGUACGUUCGAAAGAUUAAAACUUCAAAGGAAUUGACGGGGGCCCGCACAAGCGGUGGAGCAUGUGGUUUAAUUGGAAGCAACGCGCAGAACCUUACCAACCAUUGACAUCUUCUGACCGGCUGGGAGACCAGCUUUUCUCGUAAGAGACAGAGUGACAGGUGCUGCAUGGCUGUCGUCAGCUCGUGUCGUGAGAUGUUCGGUUAAGUCCGGCAACGAGCGCAACCCACAUCUUUAGUUGCCAGCAUUCAGUUGGGCACUCUAGAGAAACUGCCCGUGAUAAGCGGGAGGAAGGUGUGGAUGACGUCAAGUCCUCAUGGCCCUUACGGGUUGGGCUACACACGUGCUACAAUGGUCGGUACAGAGGGUCGCUAACCUGCGAAAGUACGCUAAUCUCACAAAGCCGAUCGUAGUCCGGAUUGGAGUCUGCAACUCGACUCCAUGAAGUCGGAAUCGCUAGUAAUCGCGGAUCAGAAUGCCGCGGUGAAUACGUUCCCGGGCCUUGUACACACCGCCCGUCACACCAUGGGAGUUUGUUGCACCAGAAAUAGUUAGCCUAACCGCAAGGAGGGCGAAUACCACGGUGUGGCCAAUGACUGGGGUGAAGUCUUAACAAGGUAGCGGUAA